rnacentral:misc_RNA from 1 species
AAAGUCGUAACAAGGUUUCCGUAGGUGAACCUGCGGAAGGAUCAUUAUUGAAUAAAACUUGGUUGGGCUGUUGCUGAUCCUCCAGGAUAUAUGUGCACGCCUACCGACCAACUUUUUACCACCUGUGCACCUUUUGUAGAUGCUGGAUAUCUCUCGAGUGCCCAACUCGGUUUUGAGGACUGCCCCAAGCUUUCCUCAAAUUUCUGCUCUACGUUUUUUUAAUAUACCCCAUUGCAUGUCAUUGAAUGUUAUUGAUAUAGGCCUUUGUUGCCUUUAAAAUCUAUACAACUUUCAACAACGGAUCUCUUGGCUCUC